rnacentral:rRNA from 1 species
AUUGAACGCUGGCGGCAUGCUUUACACAUGCAAGUCGAACGGUAACAGGCCGCAAGGUGCUGACGAGUGGCGAACGGGUGAGUAAUGCAUCGGAACGUGCCCAGUCGUGGGGGAUAACGCAGCGAAAGCUGCGCUAAUACCGCAUACGAUCUAUGGAUGAAAGCGGGGGACCGUAAGGCCUCGCGCGAUUGGAGCGGCCGAUGUCAGAUUAGGUAGUUGGUGGGGUAAAGGCUCACCAAGCCAACGAUCUGUAGCUGGUCUGAGAGGACGACCAGCCAGACUUGGACUGAGGCACGGCCCAGACUCCUACGGGGGGCAGCAGUGGGGAAUUUUGGACAAUGGGCGCAAGCCUGAUCCAGCAAUGACGCGUGCAGGAAGAAGGCCUUCGGGUUGUAAACUGCUUUUGUACGGAACGAAACGGUCCUGGUUAAUACCUGGGGCUAAUGACGGUACCGUAAGAAUAAGCACCGGCUAACUACGUGCCAGCCGCCGCGGUAAAAC